GUAGGGAAUAUUGGGCAAUGGAUGCAAGUCUGACCCAGCCAUGCCGCGUGGAGGAAGAAGGUCCUCUGGAUUGUAAACUCCUUUUUUGGGGGAAGAAUAGUUCUCUUGCGAGGGAAUGUGACGGUACCCUAAGAAUAAGCCACGGCUAACUACGUGCCAGCAGCCGCGGUAAUACGUAGGUGGCAAGCGUUGUCCGGAUUUAUUGGGUUUAAAGGGUGCGUAGGUGGUUUGAUAAGUCAGUGGUGAAAGCUGGUUGCUCAACAAUCAAGUUGCCAUUGGUACUGUCGGAAUUGAGAGAAGUGGAGGUUCAUGGAAUGGAUGGUGUAGCGGUGAAAUGCAUAGAUAUCAUCCAGAACGUCGAUUGCGAAGGCAGUGGGCUGUACUUUAUCUGACACUGAGGCACGAAAGUGUGGGGAUCAAACAGGAUUAGAAACCCCGGUAGUCC
rnacentral:rRNA from 1 species